CCUACGGGAGGCAGCAGUGGGGAAUUUUGGACAAUGGGCGAAAGCCUGAUCCAGCCAUUCCGCGUGCAGGAUGAAGGCCCUCGGGUUGUAAACUGCUUUUGUACAGAACGAAAAGGUUUCUAUUAAUACUAGGAGCUCAUGACGGUACUGUAAGAAUAAGCACCGGCUAACUACGUGCCAGCAGCCGCGGUAAUACGUAGGGUGCAAGCGUUAAUCGGAAUUACUGGGCGUAAAGCGUGCGCAGGCGGUUAUAUAAGUCAGAUGUGAAAUCCCCGGGCUCAACCUGGGAACUGCAUUUGAGACUGUAUAGCUAGAGUACGGUAGAGGGGGAUGGAAUUCCGCGUGUAGCAGUGAAAUGCGUAGAUAUGCGGAGGAACACCGAUGGCGAAGGCAAUCCCCUGGACCUGUACUGACGCUCAUGCACGAAAGCGUGGGGAGCAAACAGGAUUAGAUACCCUGGUAGUCCACGCCCUAAACGAUGUCAACUGGUUGUUGGUCUUAACUGACUCAGUAACGAAGCUAACGNGUGAGUGCGCGNGGAGUAACGGUCGCGAGUUAGUAAGUUAGAAGAAGUUGNGGNGNGAGAGNGCGAGGACGACGACGAGGGAGGAGG
rnacentral:rRNA from 1 species